rnacentral:rRNA from 1 species
GGGUUUGACUAAGCCAUGCGAGUCGAGAGGUGUAAGACCUCGGCAUACUGCUCAGUAACACGUGGUUAACCUGCCCUAAGGUGGAGAAUACUCCCGGGAAACUGGGGCUAAUGCUCCAUAGUGGAUAUGUCCUGGAAUGGUAUAUCCUCGAAAGAUCCGUCGCCUUAGGAUGGGACUGCGUCCGAUUAGGUUGUUGGCGGGGUAACGGCCCACCAAGCCAUUGAUCGGUACGGGUUGUGGGAGCAAGAUCCCGGAGAUGGAUUCUGAGACAUGAAUCCAGGCCCUACGGGGCGCAGCAGGCGCGCAAACUUUACAAUGCGAGCAAUCGUGAUAAGGAAACCCUGAGUGCCUGUCGAUGCAGGCUGUUCAUAUAUCUAAAUCAUAUGUGAAGAAAGGGCAGGGCAAGACCGGUGCCAGCCGCCGCGGUAAUACCGGCUGCUCGAGUGAUGGCCACUAUUACUGGGUUUAAAGCGUCCGUAGCUUGACUGUUAGGUCUCUUGGGAAAUCUUCACGCUCAACGUGAAGGCGUCUAAGAGAUACCGGCAGUCUUGGAACUGGGAGAGGUAAACCGUACUUCGGGGGUAGGAGUGAAAUCUUGUAAUCCUCGAGGGACGACCUAUGGCGAAGGCAGUUUACCAGAACAGCUUCGACAGUGAGGGACGAAAGCUGGGGGAGCAAACGGGAUUAGAUACCCCGGUAGUCCCAGCCGUAAACAAUGUGCGUUAGGUGUGUCGGUAACCACGUGUUACUGAUGCGCCGAAGAGAAAUCGUGAAACGCACCACCUGGGAAGUACGGUCGCAAGGCUGAAACUUAA